rnacentral:lncRNA from 1 species
UCAAUACAAAGACACCUGGUCGAUUCUAAAGGGCUCUGCAAACAUAAGAAAUGAUUUUCAAGGCUAUCAUAAAAGGUCUCACAAGGACUUUGACCUACGCAUAUUGUAUAGCACCGAGUGGAGUUUUGGCAGCACACACAAUAUUUUUGUGAUUAUUACUCACUGUUAUUAAUACAAAUAAUUGACGUAACAGCUGUUCGUGGGCCAAACACUCAUGUUUGAUAUGGAGCUACCAGAAAGGACUUCCAAAUUUUCUCAGCCUGCUUCCUCUUCCCCUCCCCCUGGGACCCCAAAGCCACACAGGAUGACUCAAGGAGAUCACGUGUCUGUGGCAUUUUGUGUGUCUGUGCGAACCAGCAUGCGUAGACAUCACGCUCUCCUUUGAGGGAUUUGCACUAAAAAGAUGGUAAGGAAGGGGCAAAGCUGAAUGUCAGAGGUGACUUCCAAUCAGGAUAUCCCACCUGGAAGCCAGCCAGCUUCCGCUCCUUUGAAUUCGGCAAGAAAAAGACUUGACCUUUCUUACAAAUCAACCUACAAGCCCUUAGGCACGGCCACCGGCCACCGUGGGGUCUGUCUUGACUCUGACUCGAAAUCAUUUGGUAACAAGUGAAUUCCUGAAACUGACCUCCGUUUGGCAACAAGGUCUGAACAUUCAAAGCUGCUUAGUCAUUCCCCUUUAAAAAUUCACUUAAAAAAUAAAUUAAUUAAAAAUAAAAAUUCACCUUGAAGUAUUUCUCGAAUGAUUACUCUCAGGAGUCCAGCCAGAACCUGGACAAUGUCCUAUGUUGCUGAUGAGAGGUUAUGUGGGGUCAGGCUAUUAAAAUACGAGUAACUUCAUAGGCAAAAGGGAUGUCUCCUGAAUAGAUUUCCAGAUCGUCCUGGUUUGAAUGCCUUCCUGCUGACCUGAUGAAGCUCAUGCUCUCUUACCUGCCUUGGGGACAGGAUACAACCUCAGGCUGCAGGUGAGGUCGACAGGAUGAAGGGUGGAGAGUGGACCAGUGAGAAGAUAAGGAAAGUGUGUCAGAGUGGUGGUGGUCCCCACACAGCCCUCAGAUUCCAUGACUCUACCUCCUUCAUGCCAUUAGGAUGAGAUCCUUUUUCUGCCACUCCCAGGGGGCCUGGGGGUGACUCUGUGAAGAUGCACAUGCACACAUUUUUUCAUUUGCCAAAGGAGCAUGAAACAUCACCCAGCCGUGGAGCAGAUGGCCUCCAGCUACCAUCGUGUCAUGCAACUUGAGACCAACCCUUCUACCCGAAAAAUUCAUCCUCACCACGGGAAGGAUGUACUAUCCUAACCUGUCCUUUUCUUCCUUUAUGUCAUUUUUUCCUUUUAGGUUACUUCCAAAAUAGGAAGGUAAAUACAUGUUUUAAAUCACCAGUGGCAGUGUCUUAAAUUAUGUCAUCUCUUAAAGAAGAAGGAGAAGGAGGAGAUGAGGAGGAGGAGUCAAGGAAGGGAAGGGAACGGAAGAAGAGAGGAAGGAGUAAAAGACAAGGAAAAGAAUGUCAGUCAUUAUCUUUCGGGUUCCCUUGCCACGGACAUUCCACCUGUGAAGGCUGCUUCUUGCUGUGGGACGUGCUCUCAAGCACUUCUGGCAGUUUCGGGGAGAGCCACACAGACACAUUUCUGAUUAAACAAAUGUUCUGUUUUGACUUAUUUAUUCAGCAAGGACUUGUUCCCAUGGCAAAGGCGGACCUAAAAAUCAUCUUUGUAAAGAUGUAAAGUGCAUCACUGCAUGUUUAAAAUUAAAGCUCAGGGGGAAGGGGAGGUACCUGGGUGGCUCAGUGGUUGAGCACCUGCCUUCAGCUCAGGUCAUGAUCCUGGGAUCUGGGAUUGAGUCCUUCAUCAGGCUCCCCACAGGGAGCCUGCUUCCCCCUCUGCCUCUGUCUUUGCUUCUCUCUGUGUGUCUCUCAUGAAUAAAUAAAAUCCUUAAAAAUUAAAUUAAAUUAAAUUAAAUC